rnacentral:rRNA from 1 species
CAAUAGCGUAUAUUAAAGUUGUUGCGGUUAAAAAGUUCGUAGUUGGAUUUCUGCUGGAUUUGGUCGGUCCGUGCCAUGCACGAGUAUCUGUCCGGGCCCGGCAUCCUCGCGGAUCACGCUCCUGUGCUUUACUGCAUGGGUCGGAGUUCGCGACUUUUACUUUGAGGAAAUUAGAGUGUUCACGGCAGGCUAUCGCCAUGAAUAUAUUAGCAUGGAAUAAUAAUAUAGGACCUUGGUUCUAUUUUGUUGGUUUCUAGGGCUAAGGUAAUGAUUAAUAGGGACAAUUGGGGGCAUUCGUAUUAACGCGUCAGAGGUGGAAUUCUUGGAUUGCGUUACGACGAACUACUGCGAAAGCAUUUGCCAAGGAUGUUUUCAUUGA